rnacentral:rRNA from 1 species
AUUGAACGCUGGCGGUAUGCUUAACACAUGCAAGUCGAGCGGUAACAGGCCUUCGGGCGCUGACGAGUGGCGGACGGGUGAGUAACGCGUAGGAAUCUGCCUCAUAGUGGGGGGACAACGUGGGGAAACCCACGCUAAUACCGCAUACGCCCUACGGGGGAAAGCGGGGGAUCUUCGGACCUCGCGCUAUGAGAUGAGCCUGCGUUAGAUUAGCUAGUUGGUAGGGUAAAGGCCUACCAAGGCGACGAUCUAUAGCUGGUCUGAGAGGACGAUCAGCCACACUGGGACUGAGAACACGGGCCCCAGACUCCUACGGGAGGCAGCAGUGGGGAAUAUUGGA